CUGCCACACAGGAGGUGCUCAGAGCUCAACUGGCACCUGAGAGGCAGCCAGGCACAGGGGAAGGACUGCAGGCACCCAGGCUUGACCUUGGGCAAGCUACGUAACCUCAGUGGGUCUCAGUUUCCUCCACUCCAGAGGGCUGCGGGGCAGCUGAUUGAAAUGAAAGGGCUCCGGGGGCAGAGGCUUGCCCACUCCCGCCCUGGACUUGGAGGUUCAAGACUCACCAAGAGUGCGGCCCAGGUGACGCAGGAAGGUAUUGGACUGGUACAGGGUGAGGUCUCCGUCCUGGAACUUGGGGAGCUGCCCAUACAGCUGUGUGGGGAGGCAUGGCUCAGUGAGGGGCACUGAGCUUGGCCGUUCCCCGAUCCUAGUCACAGCCCCCUAAGGCGCAGCACCCCUUUCCUUGCCCGGGCAUGGUCACUUACGCAGGAGGCUUUGAGAGAGCCCUCUUGCCAGGUCUCCAUUGUUACCACCUCCUCCUUCCAGCUCUGGCCCUGGUCUGCCAGCAGCAUGCGCAGGGCCGCGCAGCGGCCUGCGGGGAGGGAGAAGCACGAGAUGUGGGGACCGGGCAGACCCCGCCUCGCAGCAACCCGGAGGAGGGGUCAGGAGUGCAGGGAGGGAACAGGGAACAGAGAUUCCUCCGAAGCUUUCACACAACACUGGGGAGGGGAGCAGGCAUGGCGGGAGAGGCGGGGCACAGGGAAGAAGGCCUGGGGUAAAAGUCACACGACGGAGGGAUAAGGCGGGGUUCGGUUCUCUCCGCGUGGGCGAGGGACAGUGGGCUGCAGCCCUAGCCCCUGCCUCCCCUCCCUGCCAGAGGCUCCUACCUCGAACUGGGAAGUAGACCACGGUGUAGGGCGGCACUGCAGCGGACAAAGAAAGGUUUGCUGGAGCCCGGGGGAAGACGCCAAGGCGCGGUGCGCGCGGCCUGCCCUCCCGGGGUCCCAUCCCUGCCCGAGGCGCUGCGGACCCCUGAGAGCCGCUAACGGCACUGGGGACUUCCUGGGUACUCUGGGACCCCGUCCCGGGUCUCGGGGUGGGAGAGGGGCCCUGCCGGGAGCCCGAGCCUGAUGCCGUGGGUUGGCCCUGGGCCCCAUGCUGGGAGAUCGGAGCCCCAUCCCCCGGGGGCGCGGGCCGCGAGGACUCACUGCUGGCACACGCGGCGGCGGCGACGAAACUCCAGCGCAGGCCUUGCGGCCUCCGAGCCUUAUAAGGGUGGUCCCGCCCAGCUCCGCCCCAGUGCUGAGUCACGGCGCCGGCCGCGCCUCUGGAGGGUCCGGCGGCCGCUGCACCCCGGGCGUCGGCUGCAGAGGGGCGCCUCGGAGCCCCCGGAGUCGCAGCGCAGCUGGCCUGGGAAGCCUUUCCCUCUUCCCCAGGUCCCCAGCGGGGGCCAGGGAGUAAACGGACAGCAGGAAGAGGACCGCAAUGAAGGUCUCACUCUGUCACCCAGGCUGGAGUGCAGUGGCACAAGGACAGCUCACUGCAGCCUCAACCUCCUGGGUACAAGCGAUCCUUCCACCUCAUCACUCCCUGCCCCGCCCUGAGUAGCCAAGACUACAGGCCCAGCAUGCCACCACGCCCAGCCUACCCCGCUUUAUUGAGGUCAACAGCCCCCUCAGAAACAAGAUUCAGGAGCUAACACGCCCCAGGUCUCACCUCGAAGAGGAGGAUCGGAAUCUCGAGAGACCAAGGAAGGAAGUCAAGAUAGUCAAGUGGGCCGUCUCAGAGCUGUUCUUGCUCGAGCUAUGUAAAUGCCUCUCAGGGAGACGCGAGGACCUGUCUGUUAGAAUGACCAGGCCCACAUCCGCGGGGGCAACAGACUUUCAUCUAUCAGCCCUUUUCAACCAUUGAUCUACUAAACUGGAAACACCGUGAACCCGCCACCUUGCUCUCGGCAGCUAGAGCCCUGUCGAGCAUGACUGUGUAGAGGUGUUGGACUCCAGUUUACUCUGGCAGACCUGACCUCCGGGACCAGCCUUGGGCAUCAGUAGACUGGGAGCUAUACGUGGACGGGAACAGCUUCAUCAACCCACAAGGAGAGAGAUGUGCAGAAUAUGCGGCGGUCACCCUGGACACUGUCGUUAAGCUGAGCUCAUUGCUUUAAUUCGGGCCUUAGAACUCAGCGAAGGUAAGACUGUAAACAUUUACACUGACUCUCGGUAUGCCUGUUUAACCCUCCAAGUGCAUGGAGCAUUAUAUAAAGAAAAGAGCCUGUUAAACUCUAGGAAAAAGGGAAAAAAAAGACCCAGAGAAUGCAACUCAGCUUCAGCGUUUGCAGAGGUACUGAGAAGCACUUCUGCAGAGGCUAAGAGUUGGUAGAAAAAAGCAAGUAAUAUUUAAAAAGAUUUCAGGAAUGCUUCAAGGAGCUGACAAAAGCCUAAGUCAGUUUUAUAAGAGACUCUUAAAGCGUUCUGGCUUUACACCCCAUUUAACCCUGAGGCCGCUGUAAUCCCAGCACUUUGGGAGGCCGAGACGGGCAGAUCACAAGGUCAGGAGAUCGAGACCAUCCUGGCUAACACGGUGAAACCCUGUCUCUACUAAAAAAUACAAAAAG